rnacentral:lncRNA from 1 species
UUUGGCAUCAGUGCCAUGCUUUAUCUGAUACUGGAAGAAACAACAUAAAAUAUUUUUUGAUGUCUUGAGGACAUUGACUUUUGUGUUGGAGAUAUCUCCCUAUAGUAACACAAAAAGGUCAGAUUAAUACGUGUGUAUAUCUAAAAAUGUGUUGGGUUUUUUUUCUGUUUCAGUUCCAAAGCACAGCUUCAGAGCAGCUGGUCAAAAUCAAACCAGCAUCACUCUACGGUGGAACAAAGUCAACAACAGUGUCAGCUUUGUUCUCCUGUUUAAUGGCACAGAAACAAACAUCAGUGCUCCAGCUGCAGAUGACUCUGUAACUUACACAGUGUCAUCUCUGACUGCUGCAACUAAAUACACAUUCACUCUCUACUCUGUGUUUGAGAAUGUCAGAAGCAGUGGAAUCAGCAUUGAUGCAUUCACUGCUCCUCCAAAUGCAGAAAUAUUUAGUUCAAUUGAAAAAAAUGGCACCAGUGUCACUCUGCAGUGGAGUAAGGCAAAAUACAGUGGUUAUUUUCUUGAUGCUGAUUAUCAAGACAGGAUCUUUGCUGCAUCAGAUACUGAUGGACCAACAGUCUUUACAAUCUCCUCUCUCUAUCCUGCCACUAAAUACACAUUCACUCUUUUCUCUAUAUUUGAGAACACCAAAAGCAGUGGAGUUCAACAGACCGUCAUUACCGGUAAGAAAAUCUACUUUACCUGCUGGGAAAAGAUGUGUAACAAAUGCUAAAUAUGGCUCUUUAUUUAGAGUAUUACAUUAUUAACAUAUACAAAAAUGAAUUACCAGUGACUUUGAUCUUUACAUACAAAGAUCCUUACUCACUACUAACACCAAAUUCCAAUCAUUAUUUUCCACUUUCUGUAUUCUUCCUGAAAAUAAACAAAUAUAUGGGACUAUUUCCUUUUGAUGAACUACGGCCACAUUUGUAUGUCUAAUACAGGUGUAACGAUACGCUAAAAUCUCAUUUCAGUUCGAUUCAGACUUUCAUAGGGCUCGGUUCGAUAUGUUUCAGUUCGGUAUGGCUGUUUAACAAAUCUGCCUGAUAUGACCUGCAAUUUUAUGAACUAUUAUUUUAUUAUUUAUUGUGUGUUUUGCUGCCGGACACCUAAAUUUCUCCUUC